rnacentral:rRNA from 1 species
GAUGAACGCUGGCGGCGUGCCUAAUACAUGCAAGUCGAGCGAACAGACGCUGCUCUUGCUCCUCUGACGUUAGCGGCUGACGGGUGUGUAACACGUGUAUAACCUACCUAUCUUACUGGGAUAACUUCGGGAAACCGGAGCUAAUACCGGAUAAUCUAUUGAACCGCAUGGUUCAAUAGUGAAAUUCGGUUUUGCUGUCUCUUAUAGAUGGAUCAGCGCCGCAUUAGCUAGUUGGUAAGGUAACGGCUUACCAAGGCAACGAUGCGUAGCCGACCUGAGAGGGUGAUCGGCCACACUGGAACUGAGACACGGUCCAGACUCCUACGGGAGGCAGCAGUAGGGAAUCUUCCGCAAUGGGCGAAAGCAUGACGGAGCAACGCCGCGUGAGUGAUGAAGGUCUUCGGAUCGUAAAACUCUGUUAUUAGGGAAGAACAAAUGUGUAAGUAACUAUGCACGUAUUGACGGUACCUAAUCAGAAAGCCACGGCUAACUACGUG